GUCCUUGUAACUCAGUUGGAUAGAGUACUCGCCUCCUAAGCAAGAAGCCGGCAGUUCGAAUCUGCCCAAGGACA
rnacentral:tRNA from 1 species